AGACAGGGUAGCUUAUUACCAGCAGACCCUCACUGCAUGCAGUGCUAGAGGCUAGUAGUCCCGGGCACCAGCAGAUCUGGUGUCUGAUGAAGGUAACUUCCUGGUACACAGACAGUACCUUCUGCUGUGUCACCAUGAGGAGGGGCGAGGAGCUCUCUGGGGUCUGGAUCUGUUUUGUAAGGGCAGUUAUCACACUCACAAGACUCUACCUCCAUGUCCAAGUCACCUCCCAAAGGUCCCAUCACCUAACAUCGUCACUCUGGGAUUAGGAUUGGAGACACAAAUUCCACGGUGAUGGCCCAGAUGACCAGCUGGCUUGUGUCCAGUGGUGUGCUGGUAAGCAGACUCUGCAGGAGAAGGUCAGCAGUGUUAACCAGUGUCACACCCUCUUGUGCUUGGAGGAUAUUUGUUGACCAAAAGUUCAAAGCUCAUGGACAGAAAAGCUAGUGGACUACAUGGCCGGAGAACUCAGCCAAGGUGCUCCAAGGACAGGACAAAGUCCACAGACACAGCUGAGUUUCUGGGUGUGGAUUUCACUUCCUCUUGGUAACUUGUUCCUGGCAGUAAACAAAUACCAUGAGCACAAUUAUAUUGAGUACACAUUCAUGAGAAGUUUUGAGGUAAAUUCAAGUUUCAUCCUGGCCAAUCGGGACGCCACAAGGAGCCAUGUGGAGCCACAGGGAGGGCCAUCCUGACCAGGUGCAGGCUGGAGCCUGCAGACUUAUUGGCAACUGUCAGCAGCAGGCACCGAUGUAGGCCUUCCUACUCUCCUGUAGUGCUUCAGGAAGUCUAUCUGAUGAAAUUCUGUUUCCUCGACAAACAAGGACAUCACCUCGGCAUGGACACCUGCACUUGGCCCUCCCAGCCUGUCCUGGGCACAGCUUCUAGACUGUUGGCUCCCUCUGGCUUUACUGAAGACAACAAUAUUGCAAAGGUUUGCACACACAUUGUUUUCAUCCCGUAAUAUUUCUGGAGUCAGAGUACAUCUGUAGUUAUAUGGGUUGUGAUAGCCUCAUUGCAAGUGUCCUUCUUUCUUGGUUUAUGAACAUGAAGGACUAUGUGACUGUCACAAGCAUCUCAGAGCUGAUGCAAUAGAGAUGCCUCAAGCAUUAGACAGUGGACGUCAAAGCCACAAUCUUGCUAAGUAGGCAGGAGUUCUUGUCCCACUGCACUAAUCUCAUACAGUAAGUCCCUGACUUUUGAAUAUUUGAGUUGUUAACUUUCACAGAUAUGAAAGGACCUCACAUCACAAACACUCAUAGAUGUGAACAGAUCUUGGAAGUAGCUCUUGUGUCUGCAAGACAUGAUCACAGUUGUGCUGCUGUAUGCUUACUGUAAUAUACAGUGUGUACAGUGCAAUAGUGUACAGUAGUACAUUACAUUGAGGGACUUACUGCAUUUUUAUGUGUGUUUAUGCUUUACAUUUUAUAUUUGUAUCAAAGGUGUAUAAGACUCAGUUUGUUGGACUUAUGAACAAAUUUGACUUGUGAAUGUUCUCCUAGAAUGAAACUCAUUUGUAAGUUGGGGACUUACUGUACUCUCUGGAAAUUAGGCUCUAUUUUAUUGGGGGCUUUUUGUUUUUGGUACCAGGGAUCAAACUCGGGUCCUUGUGCUUGCAAGGCAGGCGGCGGAACCACUGAGCUAAAUCCCCAGCCCCUAGGCUCUAUUUUAAAAAACAUAAUGUUGUUUCAUAAAAAACUACAGUACAAAAGCCAUAGUAAGAUUCUGUUCCUAGAUAACAGACCCUGUAGCCAAACCAGCACAGAUUGUUGUGGUGCAGCAGGGUGGGGUCCCUGGGGCUCUGUGGUCCUCACGGAAUGGUAGGGGUGGUACUGGGCACCUUGGAGCUCUGAUGUCCUCACAGUAACACGAGUGCCUGGUCUCCAGCUCCUCUCAAGUCCAAAAUGUAAAUGUUGAACAGACUCUGUAGUUUUGACAAUUUUGAGAAAGUUUUAUCUUAAAUAAAAAGGAGAAACAUAAAAUAAGAUGCUAACCCUAAAGCCUACAUUUCUUCCCCAAAAUUCCUAGAGAAAAACAGUAGUACAUUUUUUAUGUUGCUAUAAUUGUCAGUUUUGUAAAACUGAAGGAUGAAACACCGUGCUAGAUAUUACUCGAGACAUGUGCUCAGAUUUAACUGUCUGGAGGAUUGGUAAUGUUAGCUGCUGCCUGUUAAUAGUUAAACCUGUUGUUUCAUGCACGAAUCAUACGAUAAGCAAAAUAUUCAAGAAAGAAAAGAAAACUUAAGAGACGUAUUAGUUUCCUAUGGUGGCUCGAAUAAUGCCUGUGAACUUCAUGGCUCUAACUACACGGCCUGUUACCUGAAGGUCCGGGGUGUCAGGGCACUGAGUUGUGUCUAUCUCAGUGAAAUUAUGGCGGCAGCUGGGCAGUGUUCCACUGCAGAGGAAUCCAUCCCUUUCCUGUUUCAGCUUCCAGAGGCCCCACAGCCCUUGUC